UCGAAAAUAAAAAAAGAAUGAGAAAUAUCACAUUACACGUGUUCACAACGAAAACGAAACUAACCACACGUGCUUCACUAUUCAUCAUUCUUCAAAAUAAUUCUUAAAAUUCUUUCGUUAACACCUGAAACUCAUUAAAAAGGCCCAAAACCUUGUAAGUGCUAAUAAUUUUUAAGGGAACUGCUUUAAUUAAGAAAAUUCAUUACUAAAAUCUUAGAUCCAUUAUCGUUAAACGGUGCUGUGCUUCCAACUCUCUCCGCCUCACUUAGAUCACAGCAUCAACUCAACAUUCUAUUUAUUAUCAAGAACCUGUUUCUUCUCCUUAGCUAACUGUAGUUUCGUUUCCCCUUUUCCACGUGUGGAACAUGUGUUGUCAUUUAAAUCGACGUUGAAUUAACCAUGUGCGUUUAAUUAUUUAAAAUAAGACGGAAAAUAUCUUUUUUUAUAUUAAGUUUUAAAAGAAUAUCGUCUAAAACCAUCAUAUCAUCAAUUCUGAGUAAUUUUUUGUGCAUUAAUUCGUCUUUUUUCUUUCUUACGUGAUAUUAAUUAAUUGAUGUGUUAAGAGUAUUCGAUAAUAUAAUUAGUGUUUUGGUGGAAUAAAUUUUUUAUUCAAAGCAAUUAUCCAGUGAUUCUAUGUGUAAAAAUGAGUAUUCUUCAUUGUGUUUUGAUUGAGGAUGCAUGAGCUUAUCAAAUUGGAUUAUUCAUUAUUAUAAAGUUUGAUGCAAUACUUAUGGAUUACACUAAACACGUGGGUAGAUGGACGGCAAUCUCGGAAUACGGAUUCUGCAAUCCUUGUGAGAAUAAUUAGGUUCCGAAAUGGCUGAGAACUCUUCACAAGACGUCCGUAGUUCAAUAUCGUCGAUCUUCGUCAGAAUAUGAUCGCCGAUUUCGAUAAAAUGUGACGCCUUACCCUCUCUAGUGGGAUUUAUGUAUUCCAUAAUUCUGUGUCAUAUUUAAUUUUCUCAAAAUAAAAGUACAUUAAUGCAGA